rnacentral:rRNA from 1 species
CCUACGGGUGGCAGCAGUCGAGAAUCAUUCACAAUGGGGGAAACCCUGAUGGUGCGACGCCGCGUGGGGGAAUGAAGGUCUUCGGAUUGUAAACCCCUGUCAUGUGGGAGCAAAUUAAAAAGAUAGUACCACAAGAGGAAGAGACGGCUAACUCGGUGCCAGCAGCCGCGGUAAUACAGAGGUCUCAAGCGUUGUUCGGAAUCACUGGGCGUAAAGCGUGCGUAGGCUGUUUCGUAAGUCGUGUGUGAAAGGCGCGGGCUCAACCCGCGGACGGCACAUGAUACUGGGAGACUAGAGUAAGGGAGGGGGAACCGGAAUUCUCGGUGUAGCAGUGAAAUGCGUAGAUAUCGAGAGGAACACUCGUGGCGAAGGCGGGUUCCUGGACAUUAACUGACGCUGAGGCACGAAGGCCAGGGGAGCGAAAGGGAUUAGAUACCCGGGUAGUC